AACUACUUUGCUUAGUGAUGGAAGUUCUAGGAGCAAUUGUAGUUGUUAACUUGUACACAUCUUCUCACUAGACUAUCCCCUCCAGGCAUCUAGACAACUGUAGCCAAUCAGAAUGAGGGAAGAAAAUUGACGAACGCUAGAUACAUCUAUGAUCUCUUGGCUUCAAGAGGACGGGGUCCACAUCUCUAUUGGAAGAAGAAUUUCCCAUAAUGCAUGAUAGUUGUUUUGGAAUUACUAGAUAUGAUGAAAACAUUUCAUGGAAAUGAUUAAGUCCUGCACAUAAACUACAGGUUUUGCAUCAUCUCUAUAUUAUGUUUGUUUACUAUAACACCUUUCUCCCAGAUAUAGCACUCAAUGUCAUGCUAAACUCACUUUAAUUAAUAAAAUUAAUAAAUAUGUUUAAGAUUAAA